rnacentral:rRNA from 1 species
AGCGUAGGCGGGAUGGCAAGUCAGAUGUGAAACCUGAGGGCUCAACCUUCAGACUGCAUUUGAAACUGCUGUUCUUGAGUGAAGUAGAGGUAAGCGGAAUUCCUGGUGUAGCGGUGAAAUGCGUAGAGAUCAGGAGGAACAUCGGUGGCGAAGGCGGCUUACUGGGCUUUUACUGACGCUGAGGCUCGAAAGCGUGGGAGCAAACA